CUGUGGUUAAGUUAAUAAGGGCACACGGUGGAUGCCUUGGCGUUAGGAGCCGAAGAAGGACGCAGCGAACUGCGAUAAGCCUCGGGGAGUGGUAAGCACACUUUGAUCCGGGGAUUUCCGAAUGGGGGAACCCACCAUCUGUAAUGGGAUGGUAUCCUUCACUGAAUACAUAGGUGAUGAGAGGGCAGACCCGGUGAACUGAAACAUCUAAGUAGCCGGAGGAAGAGAAAA
rnacentral:rRNA from 1 species